rnacentral:rRNA from 1 species
CUGGAGGCAGCAGUGGGGAAUGUUGGACAAUGGGCGCAAGCCUGAUCCAGCAAUGCCGCGUGAGUGAUGAAGGCCUUAGGGUUGUAAAGCUCUUUUACCCGGGAUGAUAAUGACAGUACCGGGAGAAUAAGCCCCGGCUAACUCCGUGCCAGCAGCCGCGGUAAUACAGAGGGGGCUAGCGUUGUUCGGAAUUACUGGGCGUAAAGCGCACGUAGGCGGCUUUGUAAGUUAGAGGUGAAAGCCCAGGGCUUAACCCUGGAAUUGCCUUUAAGACUGCAUCGCUUGAAUCGUGGAGAGGUGAGUGGAAUUCCGAGUGUAGAGGUGAAAUUCGUAGAUAUUCGGAAGAACACCAGUGGCGAAGGCGACUCACUGGACACGUAUUGACGCUGAGGUGCGAAAGCGUGGGGAGCAAACAGGAUUAGAUACCCCGGUAGG